GUCGAGAAUAAUUCACAAUGGACGAAAGUCUGAUGGUGCAACGCCGCGUGGAGGAUGACGGUCUUCGGAUUGUAAACUCCUGUCAUCCGGGAGUAAGACCUGGCUGUGAAUAGCAGACAGGGUUGAUAGUACCGGAAGAGGAAGGGACGGCUAACUUCGUGCCAGCAGCCGCGGUAAUACGAAGGCCCCGAGCGUUGUUCGGAAUCACUGGGCGGAAAGGGAGCGUAGGCGGCGUGGUAAGUCAGAUGUGAAAUCCCGGGGCUCAACCCCUGAACUGCAUCCGGUACUGCCGUGCUAGAGGAUUGGAGAAGUAGCUGGAAUUCUUGGUGUAGCAGUGAAAUGCGUGGAGAUCAAGAGGAACACUCGUGGCGAAAGCGAGCUACUGGACAAUAUCUGACGCUGAGGCUCGAAGGCCAGGGUAGCGAAAGGGAUUAGAAACCCGUGUAGUCC
rnacentral:rRNA from 1 species